GACGAACGCUGGCGGCGUGCUUAACACAUGCAAGUCGAACGGAAAGGCCCUGCUUUUGUGGGGUGCUCGAGUGGCGAACGGGUGAGUAACACGUGAGUAACCUGCCCUUGACUUUGGGAUAACUUCAGGAAACUGGGGCUAAUACCGGAUAGGAGCUCCUGCUGCAUGGUGGGGGUUGGAAAGUUUCGGCGGUUGGGGAUGGACUCGCGGCUUAUCAGCUUGUUGGUGGGGUAGUGGCUUACCAAGGCUUUGACGGGUAGCCGGCCUGAGAGGGUGACCGGCCACGUUGGGACUGAGAUACGGCCCAGACUCCUACGGGAGGCAGCAGUGGGGAAUAUUGCACAAUGGGCGGAAGCCUGAUGCAGCAACGCCGCGUGCGGGAUGACGGCCUUCGGGUUGUAAACCGCUUUCGCCUGUGACAAAGCGUGAGUGACGGUAAUGGGUAAAGAAGCACCGGCUAACUACGUG
rnacentral:rRNA from 1 species